AUUGAACGCUAGCGGCAUGCCUAACACAUGCAAGUCGAACGAGUGGCGGACGGGUGAGUAAUAUAUCGGAACCUGCCCAGUAUAGGGGGAUAACUACUCGAAACAGUGGCUAAUACCGCAUACUAUCGGAUGUGCCCCUAUGGGAUUGGCUAGUAGGUUGGGUAAAGGCUCACCUAGGCAACGAUCCCUAGCUGGUCUGAGAGGAUGACCAGCCACACGGGGACUGAGACACGGCCCAGACGCCUACGGGAGGCAGCAGUGGGGAAUAUUGGACAAUGGGGGCAAGCCUGAUGCAGCCAUGCCGCGGGUAUGAAGAAGGCCUUAGGGUUGUAAAGUACUUGUAGCGGGGAGGCGUUACCCGCAGAAGAAGCACCGGCUAACUACGUGCCAGCAGCCGCGGUAAUAC
rnacentral:rRNA from 1 species